rnacentral:rRNA from 1 species
AUUGAACGCUGGCGGCAUGCCUUACACAUGCAAGUCGAACGGUAACGCGGGGCAACCUGGCGACGAGUGGCGAACGGGUGAGUAAUGCAUCGGAACGUGCCCAGUAGUGGGGGAUAACUGCUCGAAAGAGCAGCUAAUACCGCAUACGACCUGAGGGUGAAAGCGGGGGAUCGCAAGACCUCGCGCUAUUGGAGCGGCCGAUGUCAGAUUAAGUAGUCGGUGGGGUAAAGGCCCACCAAGCCAACGAUCUGUAGCUGGUCUGAGAGGACGACCAGCCACACUGGGACUGAGACACGGCCCAGACGCCCACGGGAGGCAGCAGUGGGGAAUUUUGGACAAUGGACGCAAGUCUGAUCCAGCCAUGCCGCGUGCGGGAAGAAGGCCUUCGGGUUGUAAACCGCUUUUGUCAGGGAAGAAACGCUCUGGGUUAAUACCUCGGGGUAAUGACGGUACCUGAAGAAUAAGCACCGGCUAACUACGUGCCAGCCGCCGCCGUAAUAC